GACGAACGCUGGCGGCGUGCUUAACACAUGCAAGUCGAACGAAGUGGCGAACGGGUGAGUAAUACGUGGGUAACCUGCCCUCCUUUUUGGGAUAAGCCUUGGAAACGGGGUCUAAUAUCGAAUAAAGGGGGAUGGGGUGGCGGCCUAUCAGCUGGUUGGUGGGGUGAUGGCCUACCAAGGCGGUGACGGGUAGCCGGCAUGAGAGGGUGACCGGGCACAUGGGGACGGGGAAACGGCCCAGAGGCCUAAGGGAGGGAGCAGUGGGGGAUAUUGGACAAUGGGCGAAAGACUGAUGCAGCGAGUCCGCGUGGGGGAGUAAGGCUUUCGGGUUGUAAACGUCUUUCGCUAUGGAACGGGUAGGAAGAGAAGAAGCGCCGGCUAACUACGUGCCAGCAGCCGCGGUAAUAC
rnacentral:rRNA from 1 species